rnacentral:rRNA from 1 species
GCAGUGAGGAAUUUUGCGCAAUGGGGGCAACCCUGACGCAGCAACGCCGCGUGAGUGAAGAAGGCCUUUGGGUCGUAAAGCUCUGUCAACAGGGAAGAAAUUAUAAUUGUUUAAUAGAUGAUUGUAUUGACGGUACCUGUGGAGGAAGCGCCGGCUAACUCCGUGCCAGCAGCCGCGGUAACACGGGGGGCGCAAGCGUUAUUCGGAAUUAUUGGGCGUAAAGGGCGCGCAGGCGGUCUUGUCCGUCAGGUGUGAAAGCUCGGGGCUCAACCCCGGAAGUGCACUUGAAACAGCAAGACUUGAAUACGGGAGAGGAAAGCGGAAUUCCUGGUGUAGAGGUGAAAUUCGUAGAUAUCAGGAGGAACACCGAUGGCGAAGGCAUCUUUCUGGACCGAUAUUGACGCUGAGGCGCGAAGGCGUGGGUAGCGAACGGGAUUAGAUACCCCGGUAGUCCACGCAGUAAACGUUGUACACUCGGUGUGGCGGAUAUUAAAAUCUGCUG